rnacentral:rRNA from 1 species
AAGAUUAGCCAUGCAUGUCUAAGUAUAAGCAAUAUACAGCGAAACUGCGAAUGGCUCAUUAUAUAAGUUAUCGUUUAUUUGAUAGUACCUUACUACAUGGAUAACCGUGGUAAUUCUAGAGCUAAUACAUGCUAAAAAUCCCAACUUCGGAAGGGAUGUAUUUAUUAGAUUAAAAACCAAUGCCCUCCGGGGCUCACUGGUGAUUCAUAAUAACUUCUCGAAUCGCAUGGCCUUGCGCCGGCGAUGGUUCAUUCAAAUUUCUUCCCUAUCAACUUUCGAUGUUUGGGUAUUGGCCAAACAUGGUUGCAACGGGUAACGGAGGGUUAGGGCUCGACCCCGGAGAAGGAGCCUGAGAAACGGCUACUACAUCCAAGGAAGGCAGCAGGCGCGCAAAUUACCCAAUCCCGACUCGGGGAGGUAGUGACAAUAAAUACUGAUACAGGGCUCUUUUGGGUCUUGUAAUUGGAAUGAGUACAAUUUAAAUCCCUUAACGAGGAACAAUUGGAGGGCAAGUCUGGUGCCAGCAGCCGCGGUAAUUCCAGCUCCAAUAGCGUAUAUUAAAGUUGUUGUGGUUAAAAAGCUCGUAGUUGAACCUUGGGCCUGGCUGGCCGGUCCGCCUCACCGCGUGUACUGGUCCGGCCGGGCCUUUCCCUCUGUGGAACCCCAUGCCCUUCACUGGGUGUGGCGGGGAAACAGGACUUUUACUGUGAAAAAAUUAGAGUGCUCCAGGCAGGCCUAUGCUCGAAUACAUUAGCAUGGAAUAAUAGAAUAGGACGUGUGGUUCUAUUUUGUUGGUUUCUAGGACCGCCGUAAUGAUUAAUAGGGACAGUCGGGGGCAUCAGUAUUCAAUUGUCAGAGGUGAAAUUCUUGGAUUUAUUGAAGACUAACUACUGCGAAAGCAUUUGCCAAGGAUGUUUUCAUUAAUCAGGAACGAAAGUUAGGGGAUCGAAGACGAUCAGAUACCGUCGUAGUCUUAACCAUAAACUAUGCCGACUAGGGAUCGGACGGUGUUAUAUUUUGACCCGUUCGGCACCUUACGAGAAAUCAAAGUGCUUGGCUUCCAGGGGAGAUUGAAUCGGGGGUUCU